rnacentral:rRNA from 1 species
AUACGGGAGGCAGCAGUGGGGAAUUUUGGACAAUGGGGGCAACCCUGAUCCAGCCAUGCCGCGUGAGUGAAGAAGGCCUUCGGGUUGUAAAGCUCUUUCAGCCGGAAAGAAAUCGUGCAGGCUAAUAUCCUGCAUGGAUGACGGUACCGGAAGAAGAAGCACCGGCUAACUACGUGCCAGCAGCCGCGGUAAUACGUAGGGUGCGAGCGUUAAUCGGAAUUACUGGGCGUAAAGCGUGCGCAGGCGGUUUUGUAAGACAGGUGUGAAAUCCCCGGGCUUAACCUGGGAACUGCAUUUGUGACUGCAAGGCUAGAGUAUGGCAGAGGGGGGUAGAAUUCCACGUGUAGCAGUGAAAUGCGUAGAGAUGUGGAGGAAUACCGAUGGCGAAGGCAGCCCCCUGGGUCAAUACUGACGCUCAUGCACGAAAGCGUGGGGAGCAAACAGGAUUAGAUACCCGUGUAGUCCG